UUUCCGUAGGUGAACCUGCGGAAGGAUCAUUACAGAGUUCAUGCCCUCACGGGUAGAUCUCCCACCCUUGAAUAUUUAUACCUUAGUUGCUUUGGCAGGCCGUGGAAACACCAUGGGCUCCGGCUUAUGCGUGCCUGCCAGAGGAAACAAACUCUGUUUUUAGUGAUGUCUGAGUACUAUAUAAUAGUCAAAACUUUCAACAACGGAUCUCAUGGUUCUG
rnacentral:misc_RNA from 1 species